rnacentral:rRNA from 1 species
UCUAUGUGUGGUGGUGCAUGGCCGUUCUUAGUUGGUGGAGCAACUUGUCUGGUUAAUUUCGUUAACGAAUAAGACCUUAGCCUGCUAUGUAGCUAUGCAGAGGUAUCCCUUCGCGGCCAUCUUCUUAGAGGGACUACGACCUUUUAGACCACAAAAGUUUGAGUGAAUAACAGGUCUGUGAUGCCCUUAGAUAUUCUGCUCCACACGCGCGCUACACUAAUGUAUUCAACGAGUUUAUAGCCUCGGCCAAAAGGCCCGGCUAAUCUUUCAAAUUUCAUCGUCAUGGGGAUAGAUCAUUGCAAUUGUUGGUCUUCAACGAGGAAUUCCUAGUAAGCGCGAGUCAUCAACUCGCGUUUACUAUGUCCCUGCCCAUUGUACAGCCCAUCCGGGAACAACCCAGCCUUAGAAUCGGGUGGCUCCAUCGUGCGAAUUUGGUUUAAGGUUAUUUCAUUCUAAUAUUUAUAUUUUAGGAUUGUUACUUAUCUAUUUCAUUCUAGGCAAUAUUUCUAAUGUUCCCACGUUAUUUUUUUCAAUCUAUUAUUUAAAAUCCUCAAAUUUAAAUAUUUUAUACCAUUACGUUAUACGUACAAAUAUGUACUCGAUUGUUGGUUUAAGGUUAGUUCAUGCACUAGGAAUAUUUUCCUAAUGUUUUUAUAUUUUAAUAAAUAUUUUUUCUAUUUUUGAAUUAUUUUUACUUUUUUUUGAAUAUUCAUAAAUGAUAUUUGAAAAAAAAAUUUCUUAAUGAAUCCGCGGCGGGCUCCAACGGCCGGCAUGGGCACCACCCAUGCAUAACUCUCGACAUGCCUUAAUCUCCUCUGCUCCCCCUAAGGGUGGGCUAUUGUGCCAAGCGGCACUUGAUUCAGCCUUGCAAUGUCUGCAUGGACAGCAGCGCAUGACAUCUAUUGCUGGACGUUGGGGCCGGUGCUGGGCGUACAUCGAUGGAGCAUUUGGAUGCAUGGCGCGUGAGUUGUGUUCGGUAUGUACGGUUAGGUUGGAUCCCUGCUCGAGCAGCAAUGUCCUGACCCGUCUGCCAUCUCAGUCGUUGGGUAAGCACAAUUUAGGUUUGCUCGAAGUCGGUUUCCUGUGCUGCAUACCUAAUGCCUAGGCAUUAUCAAGUCAUAUCGAUCGCAUUUUGCCCCUCGCAUUUCGUGCGUAGGGUGAAUCGAAAGGUCGUCAUCGUGUCCCACGUCUUUCUCGCUUCGUUGUGCGGUCAUGGUCCAUGAGCGGUGGUCAGGAUUCUCGGAUGCGGUAGACGUAGUGUGGAUGAGGUCUUAAUUGACUCCUAUCUGCCCUAUACGAUGCUCCUUGCAAACGAAGGUCGCGCUUUCCUUGAAUCUGUAUUCGCCCUCAAGGGAAGGCCGGGCUCAUGUGACACCGGCGUCGUUGCGGAAUGCUACCUGGUGGAUCCUUCCAGUAGUCAUAUGCUUGUCUCAAAGAUUAAGCCAUGCAUGUGUAAGUGUGAACAAAUUCAGACUGUUAAAUUAUGAAUGGCUCAUUAAAUCAGUUAUAGUUUGUUUGAUGGUAUUUACUACUCGGAUAACCGCGUGCCGGUCGAGGAACGGACUGCGAAUAGAUCCUUUGGGGACCUUCCCCACUCGUCGAACAACCAACUUAGACCUUGUACGGACAAGGGGAAUCCGACUGUUUAAUUAAAACAAAAUAUUGCGAUGGUCCCAAUGGAUGUUCACACAUUGUGAUUUCUGCCCAGUGCUCUGGAUGUCAAAGCGAAGAAAUUCAACCAAGCGUGGGUAAAUGGCGGGAGUAACUAUGACUCUCUUAAGGUAGCCAAAUGCCUCGUCAUCUACAUAGUGAUGUGCAUGAAUGGAUUAACGUGAUUCCCACUAUCCCUGUCUACUAUCCAGCGAAACCACAGCCCAGGGAACGGGCUUGGAAGAAUUAAUGGGGAAAGAAGACCCUCUUGAGCUUGACUCUACUUCGACUUUGUGAAAUGACUUUAGGGGUGUAGUAUAAGUGGGAGACAAAAGCCGAAAGUGAAAUACCACUGCUUUUCACAUUAUUUUACUUAUUCCGUGAAUCGGAAGCGGGGUGAUGCCCCUUUUUUGAGACCCAAGGCUCGCUCUUUGGGCCGAUCCAGGUGGAAGACAUUGUCAGGUGGGGAGUUUGGCUGGGGCGGCACAUCUUUUAAAAGAUAACGAAGCUGUGAUAAGAUGAGAUCAAAGAGAACAGAAAUAUUGUAUGGAACAGAAGGGUAAAAGCUCGUUUGAUUCUGAUUUCUAGUACGAAUACGAACCAUGAAAGCGUCGCCUAAUGAUCCUUUAGACCUUCGAAAUUUGAAGCUAGAGGUGUCAAAAAAGUGUUACCACAGGGAUAACUGGUCUGUUUCAGCCAAGCGUUCAUAGCGACGUUGCUUGUUCAUCCUUUGAUGUCGGCUCGUCCUAUCAUUGUGAAGCAAAAUUCACCAAGUGUUGGAAUGUUCACCAACCAAUAGAGAACAUGAGCUGGGUUUAGACCGUCGUGAGACAGGUUAGUUUUACCCUACUUGUGACAGUGUCGCAGUAGUAAUUCAACCUAGUGCGAGAGAAAAUAUUGAUUCACCUAAUUUGUAAUCGCGCUUGGUUGAAAAGCCAGUGGUGCAAAGCUACCAUGUGCGAGAUUAUGACUGAACGCCUCUAAGUCAGAAUCCGAGCUAGAAGCGACGCAUGCGUCCGCUGUUCGCUUGCCGACCUGCAGUAGGGGCCUUGGCCCCCAAGGGCACAAGUCAUUUGCUAAGCCACCACGGCGGAAGAAUCACGGUGGCCGCCUUGAUGUUUAAUUUCCAUCGAGCGGCGGGUAGAAUCCUUUGCAGAAGACUUAAAUAUGCGAC